CUGGAAGGAGGUAGUUGCAGGGCCCUGCCUUCCUCUCCCAAGCAUUCUCCAAGCAGCUGGAGCAGUUAAACAGAGGAAAUGGGGCUGGGCUUGUUUUCCAUUUGAGGCAUCUGGCAGCCUUGGAGCAGCAGAGAGCAGGAAAUGUGGCUCCUGGAGGAAAAGCCAAGCAGGCUGGAGGCUCAGAGAGGCAGAGCAGUCCUGGCUGCGGGGCUGGGGCACCUCGGGCUUGUACUCCUUGAAGCUGUCGAUCUCAACUCUGCUUUCCAGGUGGGGUCGGGGAGGCCAAGGCUGGAAGGAACAGGUGCACAGGGCUGGGGAGGAUGCAGUUCUGAGGCCACCAUGUGCCAGCACUGGGGAGCUGGGGACCCCUCGGAAUCCACCCGGAUACACACAGGAAGAGGAAUCUGGGACUGCAUGUGCCCCAGCGGCCCUGCUAGACCCUCCAAGAGGAGGCCACUCCGCCAGGGGCAGCAAGUUCAAGUCGAUGCUGUGGUCUGGUUGAGGAAGAGAAAGGUAAGCCCUGCACUGGGAGGCCCCUGCCCCACCCCAGACCUCUUCUCAGAUCCUGUGGCUCUCACCCACCCUUGUUUGGAGGGAAAUCCUCCUGCACGCACCUCCACCCCAUGUCAUGAAAGUGGCCUCGGGGACCCACUCCAGCUGAUUCUUCCAGGGGAGCCCUUGGGCAGAGGUGGCAGAACCAGGAAGACUUGGAUUUGUUCACAGGCAGAGGAGGGUUUAGCUAAGAAGGGGUUGGGAGUUCAGGGCUGGGGAGGGUGGAGGGGUUGUCAGUCUGCCCCGUGGAGGUCUGUGAGAGCCUGGGUGGCAGGGGGGUCCAGGAGGGGGCUCCUUUCCCCAUCUUUUUCAGCAGCAGGUUCUCAGCCAUGGUGCCAGAGGGUACCUUGCUCACUUCUGCAAGCCAGUGCCUAGUUCAGGGUUAGCCCUCAGGAAAGCUCAGGUAAGGCCUGUUGAAAGAGUAGGGGGUCCCUCCUUCCCCCCGCCUCCUAAGAAGGGCCAAGGAGGGGUCUCUCCAGCUGUCGCCAGCUGAUUGAGGGCAAGGACCCAGUGUCCUUGGUUGGCUCCCUCCUAGGCGCCUGGUCCAGUGCCUGCUCCGCCGUGGGCACUCAGGAAAGCCCUGCUGAAUGAAUAGGGCUUUGCAUUUUAUCCAGAAAAGGGGUCCCAGAAACUCCCCCCUUUCCUCUGCCCACCCUGGCAGUCAUUCCCGAAUCCCCAGCGCCUAGAGCAGUGCCGGGCCAGCGGCGGGCGCUCGGGACCGCUUGUUGAGUGGAAAGGGGAGUGGUCCCCAGCGCUGCGCUCUCCUAGGCCCCCAUCCUCCUUACCUGUAAGACACCUGCUUUCGUAGGUGCAUCUGGCCGAACCGCUCCUCCACCGGGGGCCCGCCGGCCAUGCCCCGGGACCCCUCCGGCCACGGCCGCGGGGCCUGGGCCUCCUCCCCACGCCGGCAGCGUCGCCGCACCACCUCCUCCUCGGCUGCCCGGCCGCCGCUCGCCCCGUCCCCGCGGGGUCCUCCGCCGCCCGGCCCCUCGGCCAUGCUGCAGCUGCCCUUUUCCCGCGGCUCCCCCGCCUGUCGGGCUUCCCGGCUAAAGUUCAGAGCCUCCUUCCUCCUGGGCCGGGGGGACGCGCGGAGGGGAGGAAGGGAGGGACGCGCAGGAUCCCGUGCGCUCCUCCCGACGCCGGGGCUCGGACGGGAGCAGCGAGAUGCUGGGCGCUGCGCCUGGGAAGGGCCCGCUGGGGUCCUCUAGCGUCCCCGGAAGGGCCCUGCGGGCGUCGGGGUGCUGCGUCGUCAGCGUUGGGGCGCCCCUCGGACGGCUGGAGCCGCAGCCAGGGCGCGCGUGCUCCGGCAGGCGCGGCG
rnacentral:lncRNA from 1 species